ACUCCUACGGGAGGCAGCAGUAGGGAAUCUUCCACAAUGGGCGCAAGCCUGAUGGAGCAACACCGCGUGAGUGAAGAAGGGUUUCGGCUCGUAAAGCUUUGUUGUUAAAGAAGAACACGUAUGAGAGUAACUGUUCAUACGUUGACGGUAUUUAACCAGAAAGUCACGGCUAACUACGUGCCAGCAGCCGCGGUAAUACGUAGGUGGCAAGCGUUAUCCGGAUUUAUUGGGGCGUAAAGAGAGUGCAGGCGGUUUUCUAAGUCUGAUGUGAAAGCCUUCGGCUUAACCGGAGAAGUGCAUCGGAAACUGGAUAACUUGAGUGUAGAAGAGGGUAGUGGAACUCCAUGUGUAGCGGUGGAAUGCGUAGAUAUAUGGAAGAACACCAGUGGCGAAGGCGGCUACCUGGUCUGCAACUGACGCUGAGACUCGAAAGCAUGGGUAGCGAACAGGAUUAGAUACCCUGGUAGGAUAGCG
rnacentral:rRNA from 1 species